AGGACGAACGCUGGCGGCGCGCUUAACACAUGCAAGUCGAACGUGAAGCCCGGGCUUGCCUGGGUGGAAAGUGGCGAACGGGUGCGUAACACGUGAGCAACCUGCCCCGAAGACCGGGAUAACACCGGGAAACCGGUGCUAAUACCGGAUGCCCUCAUCACACCGCAUGGCGAGAUGAGGAAAUGGAUUCCGCUUCGGGAUGGGCUCGCGGUCUAUCAGCUUGUUGGUGGGGUAACGGCUCACCAAGGCUACGACGGAUAGCUGGUCUGAGAGGAUGUCCAGCCACACUGGGACUGAGACACGGCCCAGACUCCUACGGGAGGCAGCAGUGGGGAAUCUUGCACAAUGGGCGAAAGCCUGAUGCAGCGACGCCGCGUGCGGGAUGACGGCCUUCGGGUUGUAACCGCUUUCAGCAGGGACGAUAAUGACGGUACCUGCAGAAGAAGCCCGGCCAACUACGUGCCAGCAGCCGCGGU
rnacentral:rRNA from 1 species